AGUGAACGCUGGCGGCGUGCUUAACACAUGCAAGUCGAACGAGAACGGGCUAUAGCUUGCUAUAGUUGUCAGCUAAGUGGCGCACGGGUGAGUAACGUAUAGGUAAUAUGCCUCUUACUAAGGGAUAACAAAUGGAAACGCUUGCUAAUACCUUAUACUCCUUAUUAACAGAAGUUAAUAAGGGAAAGAUUUAUUGGUAAGAGAUUAGCCUGUAUUGUAUCAGUUAGUUGGUGGGGUAAUGGCUUACCAAGACUAUGACACAUAACUGGUUUGAGAGGAUGAUCAGUCACACUGGAACUGAGACACGGUCCAGACUCCUACGGGAGGCAGCAGUGGGGAAUAUUGCACAAUGGACGAAAGUCUGAUGCAGCAACGCCGCGUGGAGGAUGACACAUUUCGGUGCGUAAACUCCUUUUAUAUGAGAAGAUAAUGACGGUAUUAUAUGAAUAAGCACCGGCUAACUCCGUGCCAGCAGCCGCAGUAA
rnacentral:rRNA from 1 species